UCUCCAGUUGUUUUCGGACUACAGUUCCCACAAUCCUUGACCAUGGCUAGCAAGGGAUGAUGGGAGUUGUAGUCCAACAACAGCUGGAGA